rnacentral:rRNA from 1 species
CUGCUAAAUAGCUUGGCCAGCUUUUGCUGGACUUUGAGCUUCUUAGAGGGACUAUUGGCAUAAAGCCAAUGGAAGUUUGAGGCAAUAACAGGUCUGUGAUGCCCUUAGAUGUUCUGGGCCGCACGCGCGCUACACUGACGGAGCCAGCGAGUUUAUAACCUUGGCCGAGAGGUCUG